GAACGGUUCACGGCCGAACCGAGCAGCAGGAACCGGUUAUUGGAAGGCAACCGGAGCUGAUAAACCGGUGGGAAAACCCAAAACCUUAGGGAUAAAGAAGGCACUUGUGUUCUAUGCCGGAAAAGCACCCAGAGGUAUAAAAACCAAUUGGAUUAUGCACGAGUACCGCCUCGCCAACGUGGACCGCUCUGCUGGCAAGAACAAUAACUUGAGGCUUGAUGAUUGGGUAUUGUGUCGAAUAUACAACAAGAAAGGCACACUUGAGAAGCAUUACAAUGUGGACAACAAGGAAACUACAAGCUUUGGAGAAUUUGAUGAAGAAAUAAAACCAAAAAUAUUGCCCACACAAUUAGCACCGAUGCCACCACGGCCUCGAUCGACACCAGCAAACGACUACUUUUAUUUCGAGUCAUCAGAGUCGAUGACUAGAAUGCACACGACAAACUCGAGCUCUGGCUCAGAGCAUGUCUUGUCGCCAUGUGACAAGGAGGUUCAGAGCGCGCCCAAAUGGGACGAAGACCACAGAAACACCCUUGAUUUUCAGCUAAACUAUUUGGAUGGUUUACUAAAUGAACCAUUUGAAACCCAAAUGCAGCAGCAAAUUUGCAACUUUGACCAGUUCAACAAUUUCCAAGACAUGUUCCUAUACAUGCAAAAACCUUACUAAAAUUGUAUAAAUUCAUUGGAUCUAAAUUGAGUGUGAUCCAUGACAUUUUCUUUGUUCUUUGGUGGUGUAGGUCAACUUUUUAUUAAGUAGUUUAGAGAAGUACAAAAUGCUAGUCAAAUUUGGUGGGCUACAGCACAAAUGAGCCUUGAUAAGCAUAGCCAAAGAGUCAUAUAGAAGGGCUUAUUAU
rnacentral:misc_RNA from 1 species